rnacentral:rRNA from 1 species
UACGUAGGGGGCAAGCGUUGUCCGGAUUUAUUGGGCGUAAAGCGCGCGCAGGCGGUUUCUCAAGUUUGCACUGACAGCUCCUGGCUUAACCGGGAGAGGCGUGCGAAAACUGGGAGACUUGAGGGCCUCAGAGGAACAUGGAAUUCCAGGUGGAGCGGUGAAAUGCGUAGAGAUCUGGAGGAACACCUAAGGCGAAGGCAGUGUUCUGGGAGGCACCUGACGCUCAGGCGCGAAAGCCAGGGGAGCGAACGGGAUUAGAUACCCCGGUAGUCCUGGCCGUAAACGAUGACCACUAGAUGUGGGAGGUAUCGACCCCUUCCGUGUCGUAAGCUAACGCGAUAAGUGGUCCGCCUGGGGAGUACGGUCGCAAGAUUAAA